AAACCCCAACUUUGGAAGGUUCUCCCCAAUUUUAAAGAGUUUUCCACAAUUUUAAAGACCUAAAAGUCCAACUUUGGAGGGUUCUCCUUGGUUUUAAUGACCAAACCCCAACUUUGGAAGGUUCUCCCCAACUUUGGAAGGUUCUCCAUAACUUUGGAAGGUUCUCCAUGAUUUCAAUGACCACAAACCCCCAAUUUUUGGGGUUCCUCACCCCAAAAGUCCAACUUUGGAAGGGUCUCCGUGGUUUCCAUGACCAAACCCCAACUUUGGAAGGUUCUCCACAAUUUUAAUGACCUAAAAGUCCAAAUUUUGAGGGUUUCUCCUUGGUUUUAAUGAC
rnacentral:lncRNA from 1 species